CGAACCGGGGCUGCAGAAACUUGAUAUCCCACGCUAUCAAAAUCCCGCCCGCAUGGUCAUUUCAAAUUCUGUUGCUUUGAAAGAAACAUUGCCCUGCCGAUUUCUACUUGUUUCUGACAACUUGGUUUUACUUGAAAGUGAAAAUACUUCGAUGAGGAUUGCAGUUUGACUGUCGUGGGAGAAAAAGACAAAACGUUGACAAUAAGGACGGAAUCCGAAGUGAGAUACCAUCAUUCAUGGCCCCAUCAUCAAUAUGAUGAAGAGGAACUAACAAAGUUUGCUAUUCGGCAUGCAGCAAAUUAUUGGGAAACUUGCAGGAGAAAGCAAAAGAUAUUCCAGAGAGACUGUUUAAUUUCUCAAUCUAAACACAGAGAAAGCAAAUGGGAAGAGAACAAGGGCUCCAACAGACAAAAUAAAAGAAAUUAAGGAACAUGAUGAAGAGUUUAUCCCAAAUAAGAAGAAAAAAACACUGAGGAUACAAGAGAGAAGAAACAGGAGCUAAGUCCCAAGGAAAAGAAGAUACCAAGUCACAAAACUCCUCCCUUGAGAAAACACUCUACUACCAACAUUCUUUCAUUGGUAGUAGUAGUAGAUAUUAGCAUUUCAUCCCAUGGAGGAUUGUGUUGAGAUAAUCAAGAAGCAGGCUUCCUGUGUCCAAAUCCUCCUUCUUCAGAAAAACCAAGGGAGAAUGACCAGGAUAUUUCACCCCCUGGAAUAUCUGAAGGGGUUAUGCCCUUUAGUGGUGUGGAGAAAAUGAAGGAAAAAAAGUGAACCAAGAACUGAACAAUGCCAUCACAGAGCAAGUCUCAUUGCAGGACAAAAAUUUAAAAAGGAACAUGGGAAAGAAAAAUAUGAGAAUGCUAAGAAGAGCUCAGUGCACGAUACAAGAUAAGCUAAUGUAAAACACACUUAUUGCGAAGUACAAUGAAUGAACAAUUUUGAUUAGGCGUAGUUCAUUAUAUCCAUUAAGUUCACAGCAAUAUUCUAAAAUUUAAGGAAAUGAAAAUCACUAUAACCAUGAAUUCAUUAUAAGCAUCUCUGCUGUAAUACAAAGUCAUCAGAGAUUGGUACACUGUAUUUUCAAGAUAAUUUAUAAUUUUUGUAUAAUACAAAUUUUGAAUUUUCCUUAAAUGGGAAGAUUUAUUAAUGUAAAGUUUAU